UACGGAGGGUGCAAGCGUUAUCCGGAUUCACUGGGUUUAAAGGGUGCGUAGGAGGGCAGGUAAGUCAGUGGUGAAAUCUCCGAGCUUAACUUGGAACUGCCGUUGAUACUAUCUGUCUUGAAUAUUGUGGAGGUGAGCGGAAUAUGUCAUGUAGCGGUGAAAUGCUUAGAUAUGACAUAGAACACCAAUUGCGAAGGCAGCUCGCUACACAAAUAUUGACUCUGAGGCACGAAAGCGUGGGGAUCAAACAGG
rnacentral:rRNA from 1 species